rnacentral:rRNA from 1 species
CCUACGGGAGGCAGCAGUGAGGAAUAUUGGUCAAUGGCCGAGAGGCUGAACCAGCCAAGUCGCGUGAGGGAAGACGGCCCUACGGGUUGUAAACCUCUUUUAUACGGGAAUAACGCGCCUUACGUGUAGGGCUUUGCAUGUACCGUAUGAAUAAGGACCGGCUAAUUCCGUGCCAGCAGCCGCGGUAAUACGGAAGGUCCGGGCGUUAUCCGGAUUUAUUGGGUUUACAGGGAGCGUAGGCCGCAUGUCAAGCGUGCUGUGAAAUGUCCGGGCUCAACCCGGGCCUUGCAGCGCGAACUGGCGUGCUUGAGUCCGCGGAAAGCAGGCGGAAUUCGUCGUGUAGCGGUGAAAUGCUUAGAUAUGACGAAGAACCCCGGUUGCGAAGGCAGCUUGCUGCAGCGGAACUGACGCUGAUGCUCGAAAGCGCGGGUAUCGAACAGGAUUAGAUACCCCGGUAGUC